GGGGAAGUGGCAGACUGGGAUGCGUUUAGCUUGAAACUAAAAAGAUGAAGGUUCGAAUCCUUUCUUCUCUU
rnacentral:tRNA from 1 species